GACGAACGCUGGCGGCGCGCCUAAUACAUGCAAGUUGAGCGCUGAAGGUUGGUACUUGUACCAACUGGAUGAGCAGCGAACGGGUGAGUAACGCGUGGGGAAUCUGCCUUUGAGCGGGGGACAACAUUUGGAAACGAAUGCUAAUACCGCAUAAAAACUUUAAACACAAGUUUUAAGUUUGAAAGAUGCAAUUGCAUCACUCAAAGAUGAUCCCGCGUUGUAUUAGCUAGUUGGUGAGGUAAAGGCUCACCAAGGCGAUGAUACAUAGCCGACCUGAGAGGGUGAUCGGCCACAUUGGGACUGAGACACGGCCCAAACUCCUACGGGAGGCAGCAGUAGGGAAUCUUCGGCAAUGGACGAAAGUCUGACCGAGCAACGCCGCGUGAGUGAAGAAGGUUUUCGGAUCGUAAAACUCUGUUGGUAGAGAAGAACGUUGGUGAGAGUGGGAAGCUCAUCAAGUGACGGUAACUACCCAGAAAGGGACGGCUAACUACGUG
rnacentral:rRNA from 1 species